CAGCAGCCGCGGUAAUACAGAGGGUGCGAGCGUUAAUCGGAUUUACUGGGCGUAAAGCGUGCGUAGGCGGCUUUUUAAGUCGGAUGUGAAAUCCCUGAGCUUAACUUAGGAAUUGCAUUCGAUACUGGGAAGCUAGAGUAUGGGAGAGGAUGGUAGAAUUCCAGGUGUAGCGGUGAAAUGCGUAGAGAUCUGGAGGAAUACCGAUGGCGAAGGCAGCCAUCUGGCCUAAUACUGACGCUGAGGUACGAAAGCAUGGGGAGCAAACAGGAUUAGAGACCCGUGUAGUCCCUGUCUCUUAUAC
rnacentral:rRNA from 1 species